rnacentral:tRNA from 1 species
AAGGUAGCCGUACGAGAACGUGCGGCUGGAUCACCUCCUUUUUAAGGAGUAAACAUGCGUUUUAAGUUUACUUAAAGCGAGAUGUUAAUGGUCGAUUCUUGGAUUGUAAUGUUUGAAUCGAGUUCUGCGGGGCGUUUAUUUACGUGUUAUUAAGCUAUUUUAUGCGUCGGAGAGGCUAUAUCUUAAAGGGCGUGAGUUGUAUAAACGGGCCUAUAGCUCAGCUAGUCAGAGCGCACUCCUGAUAAGGGUGAGGUCUGUGGUGCAACUCCACAUAGGCCCACCAACUGAUGCGUAGUGUCG